UACAGAGGUCCCAAGCGUUGUUCGGAUUCACUGGGCGUAAAGGGUGCGUAGGUGGUGGGGUAAGUCGGAUGUGAAAGCUCGGAGCCCAACUCCGAAAUGGCAUUGGAAACUACCCUGCUAGAGGAUUGGAGGGGGGACUGGAAUACUUGGUGUAGCAGUGAAAUGCGUAGAUAUCAAGUGGAACACCAGUGGCGAAGGCGAGUCCCUGGACAAUUCCUGACACUGAGGCACGAAAGCUAGGGGAGCAAACAGG
rnacentral:rRNA from 1 species